GAUUAAUGCUAGCGGCAGGCAUAAUACAUGCAAGUUGAACGGCAGCACAGGUAGCAAUACUGGGUGGCGAGUGGCGCACGGGUGCGUAACACGUAUGCAACCUACCCUAUACAGGCGAAUAACCUUUAGAAAUGAGGGCUAAUACGCCGUAGUAUUACAGAUGGGCAUCUAUUUGUAAUUAAAGAUUUAUCGGUAUAGGAUGGGCAUGCGUCCCAUUAGUUAGUUGGUAAGGUAACGGCUUACCAAGACGAUGAUGGGUAGGGGAUCUGAGAGGACUUACCCCCACACUGGUACUGAGACACGGACCAGACUCCUACGGGAGGCAGCAGUAAGGAAUAUUGGGCAAUGGCCGCGAGGCUGACCCAGCCAUGCCGCGUGCAGGAAGACGGCCUUAUGGGUUGUAAACUGCUUUUAUACGGGAAUAAUAGAGUGUACGCGUACAUUUAUGCAAGUAUCGUAUGAAUAAGCAUCGGCUAACUCCGUG
rnacentral:rRNA from 1 species